rnacentral:tRNA from 2 species
GGGGCCUUAGCUCAGUUGGCAGAGCACCGGCUUUGCAAGCCGGGUGUCAGGGGUUCGAAUCCCCUAGGCUCCA